UACGGGGGGGGCAAGCGUUGUUCGGAAUUACUGGGCGUAAAGGGCUCGUAGGCGGCCAACUAAGUCGGACGUGAAAUCCCCAGGCUCAACCUGGGAACUGCGUCCGAUACUGGAUGGCUUGAAUCCGGGAGAGGGAUGCAGAAUUCCAGGUGUAGCGGUGAAAUGCGUAGAGAUCGGGAGGAACACCCGUGGCGAAGGCGGCCUGCUGGGCCGGUCCUGACGCUGAUGCGCGAAGGCGUGGGGAGCGAACGGG
rnacentral:rRNA from 1 species